CCCGCUGAACUUAAGCAUAUCAAUAAGCGGAGGAAAAGAAACUAACAAGGAUUCCCCUAGUAACUGCGAGUGAAGCGGGAAAAGCUCAAAUUUAAAAUCUGGCGGUCUUGCGGCCGUCCGAGUUGUAAUCUGGAGAAGCGUUUAUCCGCGUCGGACCGUGUACAAGUCUUCUGGAAGGGAGCGUCGUAGAGGGUGAGAAUCCCGUCUUUGACACGGACAACCGGUGCUUUUGUGAUGCGCUCUCGAAGAGUCGAGUUGUUUGGGAAUGCAGCUCAAAAUGGGUGGUAAAUUCCAUCUAAAGCUAAAUAUUGGCGAGAGACCGAUAGCGAACAAGUACCGUGAGGGAAAGAUGAAAAGCACUUUGGAAAGAGAGUUAAACAGUACGUGAAAUUGUUGAAAGGGAAACGUUUGAAGUCAGUCGCGUCGGCCGAGACUCAACCUUGCUUCUGCUCGGUGCACUUCUCGGUUGACGGGUCAGCAUCAAUUUUGACCAUUGGAAAAAGAUCAAGGGAAUGUGACAUCUUUGGAUGUGUUAUAGCCCUUGGUUGCAUACGAUGGUCGGGAUUGAGGAACUCAGCACGCCGCAAGGCCCGGGUUUUUAACCACGUACGUGCUUAGGAUGCUGGCAUAAUGGCUUUAAUCGACCCGUCUUGAAACACGG
rnacentral:rRNA from 1 species